rnacentral:rRNA from 1 species
UACGAAGGGGGGCUAGCGUUGCUCGGAAUCACUGGGCGUAAAGGGUGCGUAGGCGGGUUCUUAAGUCAGAGGUGAAAUCCUGGAGCUCAACUCCAGAACUGCCUUUGAUACUGGCGAUCUUGAGUCCGGAAGAGGUGAGUGGAACUCCUAGUGUAGAGGUGGAAUUCGUAGAUAUUAGGAAGAACACCAGUGGCGAAGGCGGCUCACUGGUCCGGUACUGACGCUGAGGUGCGAAAGCGUGGGGAGCAAACAGG